CCUACGGGUGGCAGCAGUGAGGAAUAUUGGUCAAUGGCCGGAAGGCUGAACCAGCCAUGCCGCGUGAAGGUCAGUGCCCUAUGGGCGUUAAACUUCUUUUGUGCGGGAGCAAUAAUGGUCACGUGUGGCCAGACGAGAGUACCGUACGACUAAGCAUCGGCUAACUCCGUGCCAGCAGCCGCGGUCAUACGGGGUAGGCAGGCGUGAUCCGGAUUUAUUGGGUUUAAAGGGUGCGUACGCUGUGAGGUAAGUCAGCGGUGAAAUGCCCUCGCUCAUCGGGAUGAAGUGCCAUUGAUACUGACUUACUGGAAUGCGGAUGCCGUGAGAGGAAUGUGUGGUGUAGCGGUGAAAUGCAUAGAUAUCACACAGAACACCGAUUGCGAAGGCAUCUCACGAAUCCGCGAUUGACGCUGAUGCACGAAAGCGUGGGUAUCAAACAGGAUUAGAUACCCCAGUAGUC
rnacentral:rRNA from 1 species